GGAAUAUUGGACAAUGGGGGCAACCCUGAUCCAGCCAUGCCGCGUGCGUGAAGAAGGCCUUAGGGUUGUAAAGCGCUUUCACUGGUGAAGAUGAUGACGGUAGCCAGAGAAGAAGCCCCGGCUAACUCCGUGCCAGCAGCCGCGGUAAUACGGAGGGGGCAAGCGUUGUUCGGAAUUACUGGGCGUAAAGCGCGCGUAGGCGGAUUGUUAAGUCGGGGGUGAAAUCCCGGGGCUCAACCCCGGAACUGCCUCCGAUACUGGCAGUCUUGAGUCCGAGAGAGGUGAGUGGAAUUCCGAGUGUAGAGGUGAAAUUCGUAGAUAUUCGGAGGAACACCAGUGGCGAAGGCGGCUCACUGGCUCGGUACUGACGCUGAGGUGCGAAAGCGUGGGGAGCAAA
rnacentral:rRNA from 1 species